rnacentral:rRNA from 1 species
AGCAUAUCAAUAAGCGGAGGAAAAGAAACUAACAAGGAUUCCCCUAGUAACGGCGAGUGAACCGGGAAGAGCUCAAAUUUGUAAUCUGGCGCGCUCCGUGCGUCCGAGUUGUAAUCUACAGAAGCGUUUUCCGUGCCGGACCGUGUCCAAGUCCCUUGGAACAGGGUAUCAAAGAGGGUGACAAUCCCGUGCUUGACACGACGACCGGUGCUAUGUGAUACGUUUUCUACGAGUCGAGUUGUUUGGGAAUGCAGCUCAAAAUGGGUGGUAAAUUCCAUCUAAGGCUAAAUAUUGGCGAGAGACCGAUAGCGAACAAGUACCGUGAGGGAAAGAUGAAAAGCACUUUGGAAAGAGAGUUAAACAGUACGUGAAAUUGUUGAAAGGGAAACGAUUGAAGUCAGUCGUGUCGGUCGGGUUCAGCCGGGUCUCCCGGUGUAUUCCCGGCCGACGGGUCAACAUCAGUUCUGGCCGGCGGACAAGGGCUGGGGGAAGGUAGCACCUCCGGGUGUGUUAUAGCCCCCUGUCGCAUACGUCGGCUUGGACUGAGGAUCGCAGCUCGCCUUUAUGGCAGGGGUUCGCCCACUUCCGAGCUUAGGAUGUUGACGUAAUGGCUUUAAACGACCCGU